UAUCACAAGGGACCUAGCCUAAGGAUUAUCAUCGGGAUGGACACUACUGCUAAGGGGUUUCCUCAGCCAUACAUGUCCUUAAGGCAACCAUGAGGGGGAUGAAGUACGCCAAUCAACAUUUAAUUCAUCAACACCUAUAAGUUGCGAACUUGCUAGUGUUCCACUUGGACUAUCUAGAAAGUCCGCGGUCGUCAUCUAUACUUCGCUAGAUGACUACAACAACAACAACAACAUUUAAUUCAUCAACACCUAUAAGUUGCGAACUUGCUAGUGUUCCACUUGGACUAUCUAGAAAGUCCGCGGUCGUCAUCUAUACUUCGCUAGAUGACUACAACAACAACAACAACAACAACAUCGAGGCCUCUCACCAUUUUAACACCCAUCAACUAUUUCAUCUACCCAUGUUCUACCCAACAUAUUUUGUUGAUAAAAAGCAUAUACAGUUUAAACCUUGUAUAAAACAUCAAUUCAACAGUCACCUCAAAUAAACAAUUAACAUAUUUACACAUAACACGUAUUUCAAGGUAAAUACUUCAUAUCUAUGUGUAAAUUGAAAGUAACUACACACUCACGUAUUUUUGUGAACAUCGGGCAGCAAUUCGUUUCCUAAAACGAUCGUUUUUAAUAAAACCGGAAGUUUUAUUGAGAAACCGGGCUCUACAAAAGUCGGGCUUAAAACCGAAAAGAUAAAUUAUUUGGGCUUCUCGGGCACUUUGUGGGGUAUUCCGGGCUUUACAAUUGAUAUCGGGGCUUUGCGGGAUGUUAACAUGAAAGAAAUAUGGAGAAAGGGGCUCAAAAUGACAAUUUCUUAAAAAUAUCCAAGAAGGCUCGCAGCCUUCUAUUUAUAGGGGGAAGGUUCUGAUCGGACGGCUGAAAAGCUUCUGAUCCAACGGAUGAGAAGUCUCGCACAUGGCUCGCACCUGCGAGGGCUCGCUGGCGGCUUCUAAAUGGACCGCGGCUUACUGGUGCACCUGCGAGGCUCGGACACACGCGGCAGCAUGGCGAAGCUUCGGCUGGGGAUCAGGCUGCUCCGGAUUGGGCCUCCUCCUCGGUCGAAUCAGAAGAGGACACGUGGCUUCGCAUGACUCAGCAGCCUCUGUGACUCAGCAGCCUGAUGACUUAGCAGCCUGGUGACUCAACAGGACACGUGUCACAUUCUAAGCGAGGGUGACGUGGCAAAGUGUGACUAUGCGAAUUUUCUCGAUUUUCGCGCCAAAACUUCUAAAAUCCAUAACUUUCGCAUACGAGCUCCGUUCUUGACAUUCUUUAUAUGCACGCGUAGCUAAAAUUACAAUCUACAACUUCCGUUUAGACUUCGUCGGCUAAUUUUGAAUUUAAAUUUUAUAUUAUUAUUUUUAACAGACCGGGACAGGAAAUCCGUUAAAAAUUCAUAACUUCUUCAUCCGACGUCCGUUUUCGUCAGACUUUUUACCGUUGUGCUCCUAAUGACGAGACCUUCAAUUCUCAUUUAGGUUGUGUCGGCUAAAAAUCGUUCGAUCUAAAAUUCGAGUUUUUAGCUGUCUACUGCUACGCUGAAACUUCGAAAAAUCAUAACUUCCUCAUACGAAGUCAGAUUUGGGCGUUCUUUUUAUCGAACUUCUCGGUUUAACGAAUACUACGACUUUCGUUUAGAUUACUAAGGCUAAAAAGUAGUUUAUCAAAAACUCACUUUUUACGACAUUCAGCACCGUGCCGGUUUUGUCGCGAAACUUCGACAGGUCAUAACUUCUUCGUUAUAACUCGGAUUUUGGUAUUCUUUAUAUCCCCGAAAUCCUUGUUUCGACCACUACAACUUUAUGUAAAGAUAUCGGGCUUAUCUCACACUUUAAUUUUGACGCUUAUUUUUAUUUUUAAUUAAUUAAGCCCUAAUAAUUAAGCAUAAAACACAUAAUUCACAUAAUAUUCACAUAAUUCCUUUUCAUUUCUUCAAAUCGAGUUACAAAGGUUAACCUAAACUAUCAAAUCAAUAUAAAUGCCUAGGCUAGAAACACGAGUGUUACAAUUCUCUCCCCCUUAGGAUGAUUUCGUCCCCGGAAUCACAUAUCACCAAACAAGUGCGGGUAGCGAUUCAUCAUGUCACUCUCCGCUUCCCAGGUGAGAUUUGGUCCAUUCGUAUGUUUCCAGCGCACAAGCACUAAAUCAACCAUCUUGCGUCGUAACUUCAUAGUCUUAAAGUCAAUAAUUGCCUCAGGUUCCUCGAUCAACCUCUUGUUUUCAUCCAACCUUAACUCAGAAAUUGGAAUUAUGUCGGGCACAUCUCCUGUGAACUUUCUCAAAUAACACACAUGAAAGGUGUUAUGAAUACCCUCUAGUUCUCCCGGUAACUCUAGCUUGUAAGCUUGAUUCCCGAUUCUCUGAAGAACUUUAAAUGGUCCAAUAAACCUUGGACUCAACUUCCCUCUCUUACCAAAUUUUAUAAGUCCCUUCCACGGCGAGACUUUAAGUAAAACCGAAUCUCCAACAUCGAAGGAUAUCAGUUGUCUUUUCUUGUCAGCAUAACUCUUUUGUCGAUCUUGAGCAGCUAACAUCCUUUCCCUUAUCACUUUUAACUUAUCAGCAGUCUCAUGGACUAUUUUAGGUCCCAUAAACUGCUUUUCCUGAGCUUCCAACCAACAUGAUGGCGUUCGACACUUUUCCCCAUACAAAGCGUGAUAAGGUGCCAUCUUAAUGCUUGAGAGGAAACUAUUAUUAUAGGAGAAUUAUACUAAAGGUAAGUGUUCAUCCCAGUUACCUUGGAAUUCUAGGGUACAUGCUCUCAGCAUAUCCUCCAAUGUUUGAAUCGUUCGCUCGCUCUGACCAUCGGUUUGCAGAUGGUAAGUUGUACUCAAACACAACCUGGUACCCAAUUCCUCUUGUAGACUCCUCCAAAACCUUGAGGUAAAACGGCUAUCACGAUCGGACACAAUCGUUAACGGAACACCGUGAAGCCUCACAAUUUCCUUCACGUAAGAAUUCGCAAGUUUAUCCAUAGACCAUUUCUCUUUGGCCGCUAUGAAAUGCGCACUCUUAGUGAAGCGAUCAACGACCACCCAAAUCAUGUCGUGACCGUUCCUUGUUCUGGGCAGUUUAGUCACAAAAUCCAUGGUGAUGUCUUCCCAUUUACCCAUGGGUACGGGUAAAGGUUCUAAACUCCCAUACGGUUUCUGAUGUUGUGCCUUAACCCUAGCACAAGUUACACACUCGGCCACAUACUUAGCAACAUCGAGCUUCAUCGUCGGCCACCAAUAAUAGGGUUUUAGAUCCCUAUACAUUUUCGUACUGCCGGGAUGAAUUGAGUACAUGGUCUUGUGAGCUUCUUCCAUCAGAAGAUCUCUUAUUCCGCCCGUCUUAGGUACCCAAAUUCUAUCUUGAAAUACCUUCAACCCUUGGUUGUUUGUACCGAACACUAACGUUUUGCCUAAACGUUCUUCCUUUCGGUCAUUUUUCUCUAAAGCUUCCUCUUGAGCUUUCUUUAUACUUUCCACAAUUGUCGAGACAACUUCAAUUCUCAACGCUCUUGGCCUUUUCUUUUCAAGGUUUACCUUCCGACUGAGAGCAUCGGCAACAACAUUUGCUUUACCAGGGUGGUAAAGUAUCUCACAGUCGUAGUCCUUGAGUAACUCUAGCCAGCGUCGUUGCCUCAUGUUCAAUUCCUUCUGAUUAAAGAGAUAUUGGAGACUCUUAUGAUCAGUGAAAAGUUUACACUUUGUGCCAUAAAGAUAAUGCCUCCAUAUCUUCAAGGCAAAUACUACCGCUGCCAACUCCAGAUCAUGAGUGGGGUAGUUCUUUUCAUGUUCCUUCAAUUGCCUCGAUGCAUACGCGAUCACUUUAUCCCUUUGGGUCAGAACACAACCUAACCCAACUCCGGAUGCAUCGCUAUAAACUGCAAAGUCAUCAACUCCUUCAGGCAAUGAAAGAAUCGGUGCUUCACACAAUCUCUUCUUCAACUUCUCAAAGGCUUCCUUAUGCUUCUCAUUCCAAGCAUAAGUGGCUCCUUUGUGGGUCAAAGCUGUUAAUGGAAUAGCAAUCGAAGAAAAGCCUUGGAUAAACCUUCGGUAAUAUCCAGCUAAUCCUAAAAAGCUUCGAAUCUCCAUAGGACUCUUUGGUUGUUCCCACUUCAUUACAGCUUCAAUCUUUGCUGGGUCAACCAUUAUUCCUUCUUGGUUAACCACAUGACCUAAAAAUUGGACUUCUUGAAUCCAAAAUUCACACUUGGAGAACUUUCCAUACAACUUCUCCUUUUUCAGGACUUCUAGCACUUCACGUAGAUGCUUUUCAUGCUCCUUCUUGCUUUUCGAAUAAAUCAAGAUAUCGUCUAUGAAUACUAUCACAAAUUUAUCUAAGAAUGGUUUACAAACCCUAUUCAUCAAAUCCAUGAAAGCUACUGGGGCAUUGGUUAGUCCGAACAACAUAACCAAAAAUUCAUAAUGUCCAUAUCUCGUUCUAAAUGCAAUCUUUUCGAUAUCCUGCUCUCUCACCUUUAGUUGAUGGUAUACCGACCUAAGAUCGAUCUUCAAGAAAUGGCUCGAACCCUGUAACUGGUCGAACAAGUCAUCGAUCCUUGGCAACGGGUACUUGCUUUUUAUCGUCACUUUGUUCAGCUCUCUGUAAUCAAUGCACAUUCUCAUGCUUCCAUCUUUCUUCUUUACAAAUAACACAGGGGCUCCCCAGGGUGAUGAACUAGGUAAAAUGAAACCCUUGUCCAAUAACUCCUGAAGUUGUGUCAUAAGUUCUUUCAUUUCGGUUGGCGCUAAUCGAUAAGGUGCUUUCGCUAUCGGCGUCGUUCCUGGUAACAAGUCGAUACGAAAUUCUACUUGCCGAUCAGGGGGCAAUCCGAGAAGAUCUUCGAAAAAGACUUUCGAAUAAUCACACACCACCGAAAUAUUAUGCACCUCCUUCUUUUCCAUCUUGGCAUCGAUCAUGAACGCUAGAUAGGAUGUACCUCCCUUGGCCAAACACUUUCUGGCUUUCCUUAAGGAAAUGAUUACAGAUUUUACUCUGCGUUUGUCUCCGUACACCAUAAACGACUCUUUCUCUGGCAGGUUUACUUUUACUAUCUUCUUUCUACAUAGUAUUUCUGCAUCAUUGGCGCUAAGCCAAUCCAUUCCUAAAACUAUGCCGAAUCCGUUUAACUCGAUAGGAAAUAAUUCCUCUUGGAACUUAUUCCCAUCCAAGUCAAUGAGGAUGUUUUUCAUACGAUGGCAAACAAAUACAAACUUGCCACUAGCAAUCUCGACUAAUAGGGCAUUAACUAGCCUAUCUACAGGCAAAGCUAGCUUUCUACCAAAUUCAUGCGAUAUAAAGGAGUAAUUGGCUCCAGAAUCAAACAAAAUUUGGGCAGGCAAUUCGUUUACGAGAAAGGUACCUGAAGCGACAUCGACUUCUUUCGCAGCUUCGAGCGUCAUCUGCAGGGCUCUUGCCUUCAACUUUGGUGGUAGAUUGGGUUUUGCUGCGUCCUUCUUCUUCAGGCAGUCCCUCAAAAUAUUCCCUUCUUCAUUGCAUCCAAAACAUACGUUCUUAUUGAAGGUGCAUUCAUUGGCAUAAUGCCCUGGAUUUCCACAUUUGUAACAAGUGACUUCCAUGCUGCACUUCCCAGCAUGUUUCUUCUUACACUUGUCACACCACUUGGCUUCGGCUCCUCCUCCAAACUUUCUCGAACCAGUCUUCGAGAACUUAUUCUUUUUAUUGGAACCUGAAGUUCCUUAAAACUUUCUCUUUUCGCCAACUUCAACCUUGCUGGCGGCUCUUCCCUAAAUCAUGUCCUCCACAAACUUGGCAGCCCAGAUAGCUGCCUCCAAAGUAAGUACCCAACGUACUGGCACCGCAUACUCCCAUGGAAGUCCCUUUGCGUACCUGUCUAUUUUUGCCAACUCAUCUAGGACAAUAUGCAAAGCAAACUCCAUUUUGUCUAUGAAGUUAUUCGUAUAUUCGUCAACGGUCAUACUCCCCUUCUGCAACGUUAGAAAUUGGUUUUCAAACUCAAGUACGUUUUGGGCCGAGCAGUACUUGCGCUUGAAGUGCACCAAGAACUCUGCCCAAGUUAAUUGCAGUGGCGCAUUAGGGCUUAGGGUUUUCCCCAAAGUGCUCCACCAACGAGCAGCACUACCCCUGAACUGACGUACUGCAAACGUAGUUUGUAAGGAUCUUCUUUUCCAUUGAAGGUCGAUGGCUUGCAAGUCAUAAAGUCCUUAUACUUGCACCCAUUUCUCUCCAUUCCACCCUCGUGGUUAUUCCUCCCAACCACAAGCGGUUCACUAUGACCAACUGAUCUACUGUUGUUCCCUUCUUCAGAUCGAUCGUCAUUUAGUUCACGUUGUUCAACAGGAACUGAAGGUUCAUCCCUGUCGUUCAGCAACAUUUGCCUCAAUUCUUCCUUCUGUUCAGCCAACAUGGUCUGAAUCAUGGUUCGUACUCCAGCCAUGGUGAUGGGUUCGGGUGCAGCUCCUACUAUAGGCACCUAUUCCACCAUUUGAGGUUGAGGUUGUUGGUUUCUAUUUGCAUUUCCAGCUCCACUUCGAGUUCUUUCCAUUUCAAUCUAUAUACCGAAUAAGGCGAAUUUAGGCCUUUAUUCUUGUUAGACAUUUCAAUUCCCUUAUCACUCCGAAACGUUUACAUGUUAGUUCUAAUCUCGUAUUCAUACGCUUAGAAUCCUACAUACAUAAGGUUUCCAGAUUCGGUCGGCAACAUACCAUAGAUCCGAACAAAUAAUGGCACACAUGGCAAACACAUAACAUUUAGCACAUAAGGGCAUUUUAGGCAUCUUCCCUAAAAUAAACUAGUGCUCGUGUCUAAAAUAUGGUAGACACUCAUCUCACAAUCAUCACUUAGCAUUCUAAGUUCAAGUCUAGAAAUUCUACAAUUUCUUAGUUCGCUUAAACUAAUGCUCUGAUACCAACUGUGACAUCCCCAUAUUUCUCGGCCAGAAAUGACCGAUUUAAUUUAUCAAAACUGAGUGACAUCCCCCAUAUUUCUCGGCCAGAAUUGGUCCCCAAACAACAUAUGAUAAAAGUUUAUCAAAAUCAUUCAUUAAGAAGGUAUAUAUUUUCCAUAUAUAUAUCAAAACCUCGGGAUGUCAUGUUCCGAUACUGAUCAAAAGCAUAAACAAGACAUUAUAAGCCUUUCAACAGUUAUUUACAACUACUGGCCUAUAAUCCAAAAAUCUCUCGUCAUCCUCCGACUAUGCUCGGGGUACACUACCUGUAAUCAUAAAACUGAGUGGGUCAGGCUUGGGAGCCUGGUGAGCAUAUAGGGUUUUCAACCCACAAUAAUAAUAUACUUAUUAAGUUCACCAAUCAACAAUAACCCUGAUUACCCAUUCCCGUUGUCCUCACUUUACGUCCCUAAACACCUAUCACAAGGGACCUAGCCUAAGGAUUAUCAUCGGGAUGGACACUACUGCUAAGGGGUUUCCUCAGCCAUACAUGUCCUUAAGGCAACCAUGAGGGGGAUGAAGUACGCCAAUGAACAUUUAAUUCAUCAACACCUACAAGUUGCGAACCUGCUAGUGUUCCACUGGACUAUCUAGAAAGUCCGUGGUCGUCAUCUAUACUUCGCUAGAUGACUACAACAACAACACAACAUCGACAUCGAGGCCUCUCACCAUUUUAACACACAUCAACUAUUUCAUCUACCCAUGUUCUACCCAACAUAUUUUGUAGAUAAAAAGCAUAUACAGUUUAAAACUUGUAUAAAACAUCAAUUCAACAGUCACCUCGAAUAAACAAUUAGCAUAUUUACACAUAACACGUAUUUCAAGGUAAAUACU
rnacentral:lncRNA from 1 species